CUCGAACAUAGACAAGCAAUGUUGGUCAACAAUAUCAAUUGUGAAAAAGUUUAACAAAACAUUUAUUCUCAAAUUAACUCCUUUGGAGAUGGGAAGAGAGGCAAUUGGCCUUAUGGUUUAAUGUACUGAUAGGUAAAGUUAUGAUUUUACAAAUUCUAUCAAUUAAAUGGAUUUAGAAAAAUAAUAAUUUUACUAUGUUAUGUUUAAAAAAUGCUCAGUAAUCGUUUAGUAAUUUGAUGAUAAAUAAGAACAAAUUCUGUUUAUCAAUUUCAGAUUGUGUAAAUAUCACAAAGUAUUAUAUUAGCGUUACGAUUGCAAAUUUUUAACCUCUUACCUUAUUAUUUUUUAGCGUCAAUGUUACCUAGAUUCUAGGUCCUAGAAGACCGUAUUUUAUUUAUGCUAAAGAAACUAAUGUACCCAAGGUAGUCGUCAAUGUAUUAGGUUCUCGAGAUCCAAACAUCAUUCCUCAUAAAGAACCUCAACUUAGAAUUAAAAAUCAUUAUGGAGUCCGGCUUAUUGGUGAUAAUAUUGCUGUCAAGCAAAAAAAAAAAAAUGAAGCAGUUUUUAAAAAGUGAUAUCAUAUUAUGAAAAUACUGUGUAUAUUUGAAACUAAUUAUAAUGUUAUUUUCGACACUCAUUUUAAUACUUCUUGAACUUUUAAAUAUUAAGUACAAUUUUUAUUCUUCUUUAAUUUAAUUAAUAUCUUGUUAAAUUUUUUAUUUAAUUAACUUAAUCAAUUAUUUUCAUGUGGAUUUUUUCCUAUUUGUCUUAUUUUGUUUUGUAACUAUUGCUAUUACUUUAACUAAU